rnacentral:rRNA from 1 species
CCUACGGGUGGCAGCAGUGGGGAAUAUUGGACAAUGGGCGCAAGCCUGAUCCAGCCAUGCCGCGUGAGUGACGAAGGCCUUAGGGUUGUAAAGCUCUUUUGGCGGGGAAGCGGUACCCGCAGAAUAAGCUCCGGCUAACUUCGUGCCAGCAGCCGCGGUAAUACGAAGGGAGCUAGCGUUGUUCGGAAUCACUGGGCGUAAAGCGCACGUAGGCGGAUUUGUCAGUCAGGGGUGAAAUCCCGGAGCUCAACUUCGGAACUGCCCUUGAUACAGCAAGUCUUGAGUCCGAGAGAGGUGGGUGGAAUUCCUAGUGUAGAGGUGAAAUUCGUAGAUAUUAGGAAGAACACCGGUGGCGAAGGCGGCCCACUGGCUCGGACUGACGCUGAGGUGCGAAGCGUGGGGAGCAACAGGAUUAGAUACCCUUGUAGUC